rnacentral:rRNA from 1 species
CGCCAGACUCCUACGGGAGGCAGCAGUGGGGAAUAUUGGACAAUGGGGGAAACCCUGAUCCAGCGACGCCGCGUGAGUGAAGAAGUAUUUCGGUACGUAAAGCUCUAUCAGCAGGAAAGAAAAUGACGGUACCUGACUAAGAAGCCCCGGCUAACUACGUGCCAGCAGCCGCGGUAAUACGUAGGGGGCAAGCGUUAUCCGGAUUUACUGGGUGUAAAGGGAGCGUAGACGGCAGCGCAAGUCUGGAGUGAAAUGCCGGGGCCCAACCCCGGAACUGCUCUGGAAACUGUGAAGCUGGAGUGCAGGAGAGGUAAGCGGAAUUCCUGGUGUAGCGGUGAAAUGCGUAGAUAUCAGGAGGAACACCGGCGGCGAAGGCGGCUUACUGGACUGUAACUGACGUUGAGGCUCGAAGGCGUGGGGAGCAAACAGGAUUAGAUACCCCCGUAG